rnacentral:rRNA from 1 species
CCGCCUGGGGAGUACGGCCGCAAGGUUAAAACUCAAAUGAAUUGACGGGGGCCCGCACAAGCGGUGGAGCAUGUGGUUUAAUUCGAUGCAACGCGAAGAACCUUACCUGGUCUUGACAUCCACAGAACUUUCCAGAGAUGGACUGGUGCCUUCGGGAACUGUGAGACAGGUGCUGCAUGGCUGUCGUCAGCUCGUGUUGUGAAAUGUUGGGUUAAGUCCCGCAACGAGCGCAACCCUUAUCCUUUGUUGCCAGCGGUCCGGCCGGGAACUCAAAGGAGACUGCCAGUGAUAAACUGGAGGAAGGUGGGGAUGACGUCAAGUCAUCAUGGCCCUUACGACCAGGGCUACACACGUGCUACAAUGGCGCAUACAAAGAGAAGCGACCUCGC